UGACUGUACUAAGGUAGCAUAAUCAUUAGUUUUUUAAUUGGAGACUGGAAUGAAGGGUGAUAUUCGAGGAGAAUGUUUUAUUUAUUUAAUUUGAAUUUAAAUUAAAAGUAAAAAUGCUUUUAUCAAUCUUUGGGACGACAAGACCCUAGAAGUUUAAUAUUUGAUUUAUAAAUAUUUAGUUGGGGAGACUAAUGAAGAUGAGGAACUUUACAAGAAUAUAAAGAGUUGAUAAAAUUACUCUAGGGAUAACAGCGUUAUUUAGUUUUUAAGU
rnacentral:rRNA from 1 species